AUGGAUGGCGGCAGUUCUGCGGAUGGAGACGGCGCCGCGGACGACGGCCAUGGCGCGGCUGCGGACGUGCUUGCCGAUGGCGCCGGCGGGGCUGAGGUCAGGUCAAUCCAGGGCGUCGUGCUAGCAUCGGGCUGCGGUGGGGUUGAGCCAGCAUCAGGCCAGGCCGGAGACUCGGCUACAGCUGGCUCGGGCCUGGCCAAUGGCUCGGCUGCAGCUGGCUCGGUCCAGGGCGCGGCAAUGGCUGGGGUCUUCGGCAAGGGCACGGCUGGGUCGUUCCUGGCAGCAGCUUCAGGCCAGGGCAGUACUCAGUUGCCUCCAGCAACAUGGUCGUGUCCAGAUGGGAUGGAUCCAAAUUCGAGUUAUUUGCUCAAAAUUAAAUUGUUUGGCAAUCCAAAGAAAGCUUGA
rnacentral:rRNA from 1 species